rnacentral:snRNA from 1 species
AUAUUUACCUGGCAGGGGAGAUACCAUGAUCAUAAAGGCAGUUUAUCUAAUUUUUGUGGGAAACUCUACUGCUUACUUUGUGGUAGUGGGGGACUGCAUUCAAGCUUUCCCCUG